CUAUCCACCCACCCUCGUGCUCUGGGUUGCUCAGAAAUUCCAAGUUUCCUGCUGCCUCACUGGCUGGAACAGAAUGGAAUGCACCACUGCUGAUAACAACAGAAGAGGCCCCAAACCACAGAGGCAGGCAGCCCCGGGGGCAAAUCCUUGUUACACCGCUUCACACUGAAAGAUAUUGUACAAGUUACUCAGCUUUCCUCAUAGUACGCGGGCCUCUCACUGUUGUGGCCUCUCCCGUUGCGGAGCACAGGCUCCAGACGCGCAGGCUCAGCCGCCAUGGCUCACGGGCCCAGCCGCUCCGUGGUAUGUGGGAUCUUCCCGGACCGGGGCACGAACCCGUGUCCCCUGCAUCGACAGGCGGACUCUCAACCACUGCGCCACCAGGGAAGCCCCAGGAUUCUUGUAAAGUAGAAUUACUCUUCUCAUCAAACAUUCUGUACCACUCUAUGAUCCAAGGAAAUGCCCAGAUUCUUCUAGAAUGGGCCCACUAGUGAUGCCUGGAUUGAAUUAAAGCAGCUGAUUCUCAAGCCAAGUGGCCGGAAUUUGGACAACUCUACUGGCUCAUCCUCUGUGCUGUAUGGAAGAAGCCAAGAUAAUGACACUUUCCCAAGGCUGCGGCUGGGCUACAAAACAAUAAGGGAACUGGUAAAAGAGCCUCUGGAAGUAUCCAAACGUCAAUAAAUUAGUGGUGGAGCCAGGAUGAUCGAUAUGCCAGGGCGGCUGAACUGUCAGCUCAUCAGGAAUUGCCCAGAUUGUGGACCAUUCAUUAUAUCACCAGACAUCUAUUGAGUAUCUAAAAUUUGCCAGCUGUUGGAUUGGAAGAGGUGAUCUUUCCUGUGUGUGAUGUAAAUUCAUUGCAGGAUGUACAUAGCAGAAAAACACUACCACUACAAGAGUCCACUCCAAUGGACUGUAAACUCCAAUGUGGCAAAAAGGAGAUGAAGGCAUAGAUGAUGUCCAAAAGGCCCUUACUAUAAAUGAUUUCCUGGAAACACCGUGGUCAAGUCAAAAUCUUUUUGUGAGUGAGAAGAAAAUUACAAGACUGAGCAGAUUCAAGAGUGAAACUCAUCUGUGUCAGUGUGUGUUGGCCCAAGUAGGACACACAUGCAAACAUACUGCCCUUUUACUAACAAAUCAUUGUUUCAGAUGCAAAAUAAACAGCUGAAGGAUUUCUCAAAUGUUUUUCCUAAAUAAGAUAGGAAAUAGCCUGCUCAUACAAAAUACUCUAAUCCAGUCCUAAUCUAGCACACAUUACUAGUAUUAUUUACAAUUAAUGUGCCAUGUACUGUGAAUUAUUUAACCACGAUUUUAUUUUAAAAGUUCUGUACAUCAGAAAGUCAAGUUCAUAAAGAUUAAAGGAUUUACCCCAAAUCAAAUAGCUAGUAAAUAACCGGUCCAGGAGGCAAACUAAAGCUGCCUGACUUUAAAUCUGGAGUUCUAAGACUACCACAUGCUGAUGCCUCUCCCGUGUGAAAAGGACAGAAACUAUAUUGAAUGAAUAAAUGAAUCAACUUAUAGUAUGGAUCUUAAUAAAUGUUAAUUGACUGGGAACCACAAUUCCCUCACCAAAUUUGAUUCUCCACACCAAAUGAGAUAGUAAACUACAUGUAAUGAACUUACUGGACAAACUACAUUUCCUAGUGUUUGAGACCAGCUGAGGUCUCUUGGGGACAGCCAUGAGAGUGGGGGGUAAACCCCUGGAGGCAAUGCACUCUCAGCAUUGCCUCUGAGUUAUCAUCACAGCAUCAAGCCAGGGAGCCCUCCUUCCCAAUCACUGCUGUCCAGCACUCAGCUGAAACCAAGACACCAGGAUUUGGUACAGCACUGCUGCUUGGGACGUCUUGACUCUAUAUCUCUGGACCCAUUUACUUAACUUAAAAAUGAGAAGAUUGGUUCAAAGAUGGCAGAAUAGGGGUUUUCUGAGGUUCUUUGCCUUUUCCUGACUCCCAAUAUAAACAACAAAGAAACAGAGAUAUUCAUACUAAGCGAAGUAAGUCAGGCAGAGAAAGACAAAUAUCAUAUGAUGUCACUCAUAUGUGGAAUCUAAUUAAAAAAAUGAUACAAAUGAACUUAUUCACAAAACAGAAAGACUUACAGAUAUUGAAAACAAACUUAUAGUUACCAUAGGGGAAACGUUGGGGGCAGGGAUAAAUCAGGAGCUUGGGAUUAAUGUAUACGCACUAUUAUAUAUAAGAUAGAUAACCAAAAAAGACCUACUGUAUAGCACAGGAAACUCAAUAUUCUGUGAUAACCUGUAUGAGAAAAGAAUCUGAAAAAGAAUGAAUAUAUGUAUAUGUAUAACUGAAUCACUUUGCUGUACACCUGAAACUAACAAA